GGGUUCUUAGCUCAGUUGGUUAGAGCCCCCCGCUCAUAACGGGGUGGUCGAGUGUUCGAGUCACUCAGAACCCACCA
rnacentral:tRNA from 5 species